rnacentral:rRNA from 1 species
GACGAGGGGUCCUAGCGUUGUUCGGAAUCAUUGGGCGUAAAGCGCAUGUAGGCGGCCUAUCAAGUCAGGUGUGAAAUCCCUGGGCUCAACCCAGGACGUGCACUUGAUACUGGUGGGCUGGAGUGCGGCAGAGGAGACUGGAAUUUCUGGUGUAGCAGUGAAAUGCGUAGAUAUCAGGAGGAACACCGAUGGCGAAGGCAGGUCUCUGGGCUGACACUGACGCUCAUGCACGAAAGCGUGGGGAGCAAACAGG